UCGAGAAUAUUGGUCAAUGGGGGAAACCCUGAACCAGCGACGCCGCGUGCUUGAAGAAGUUCUUCGGAAUGUAAAGAGCUUUUAUCUGGGAAGAAUCUCGAGCAAUCGAGAUGACGGUACCAGAAGAAUAAGGGGUGUCUAAACUCGUGCCAGCAGAAGCGGUAAUACGAGUACCCCAAGCGUUAUCCGGAUUUAUUGGGCGUAAAGAGUCUGUAGGCGUUUUGUUAAGUUUUCUGUUAAAGGCCUAGGGCUUAACCUUAGGAAUGCAGAAAAAACUGGCAGAAUUGAGGGCAUUAGGGGCUGGUGGAACGGUCGGUGUAGGGGUGAAAUCCGUUGAUAUCGACCGGAACCCUAAAAGCGAAGGCAUCCAGCUGGGAUGACCCUGACGCUGAGAGACGAAAGCGUGGGUAGCAAAAAGG
rnacentral:rRNA from 1 species